UACGGAGGGUGCGAGCGUUGUCCGGAAUCAUUGGGCGUAAAGGGCGCGUAGGUGGCCUGCUAAGCGUGCGGUGAAAGCUCGGGGCUCAACCCCGAGUCGGCCGUGCGAACUGGUGGGCUUGAGCACUGUAGAGGCAGGCGGAAUUCCGGGUGUAGCGGUGGAAUGCGUAGAGAUCCGGAAGAACACCGGUGGCGAAGGCGGCCUGCUGGGCAGUGGCUGACACUGAGGCG
rnacentral:rRNA from 1 species